CUUACAUAUUUCCUCCUUCCCUUUUACAAGAUAACCCUAAGGGUUCUAAGGGUUGCAAAAGGAUGAAGGGUUGCAGAAGGAUGAAGGUCCGUCUCCUGCAAUUUUUUCAUGCUGAAUAGGGUCUAUGAUAUUCCUGCCUAACUAUUGGGGUCUCUUGUAUUUAGGGUAGAGAGGAGCUCAAUCAGAAAGCAUUAGUCCGUUAAGCAUCGGUUGUACCUCUGAGUUCCAGCAAAAGGUAAAACUCUGGCGCUCCAGCAGUUUCUCAGCUUCCUGUGUGGUUUCCUUGAUCUGUCCCCAUGGUACCUGUUAGUUCCUGCAAGUUCCUGCAAGUCUCUGUCUGUCCCUACCUAUCUCUCUUUCCUUAUCUCUAUUUCCUUAUCUCUACUUAUUUCUUAUUGUCCCUGCAGGCCUCUUCAGGUCCCUUCAGGUCUCUGUCCCUGAUAGUUCCUUUAAGUUUCUGCUAGUCUUUGCUAGUCUCUACUUUUGUAUCUCUUUAGGACACUGACCUUAUAUUGCUCUUAUAUUGCUAGUCUUUGCUAGUCUUUAUCCCUAUCUGUCCCUAUUUGUCCCUGUUCGGGCACCACUUGUGACUGACUGCCAUGGUUACUACUUGAGGCCAUCACUACAACAGUUACUACUGUUACUGCUUGAGACCAUCAUUAUGACUGAACAAAGGGAUAAACACAGAAAUGAUGACAAAAGAAACUAUUUAAAGGAAAGGCUAGCAUGGAGAAGAGGAAGAGAGCUCCCUGCUUCUAGUGAGCAAAGGCAGCCCCCCCUUGAGCUUCUACAGCCCUUCUUAUUAGGUAACAAGAGCAAGGAGGAGGAGAAAACCUAUGCCAACCAUGCUCAGAGGAGAUGUAAUGACAGAGAAAGCUUUAAAGAGAUGUUACAUUAUAAGGACUUGACCUCUGCUUUCUGGGACUGAAGACGGAGAAAUGAGGCGAUAAACCAAGGGAAUAUCAUGAGAAGAAUAGUUCUUGGCUAGCUUACUGGUCCCUGAAGAAGGAAAAAAGACAUGUGGAGCAUAGCUGAGAUCAGCCAAACCUCCUGUAAGAAAAUGCCCAGGAUUGCUUGUGUGUCCAAGAAAAAUGUAUUAAAUUAUUUUUCCUUACAAAGACAAUUCAUGAUCUUUACAAACGUAUUCUGUGAUUAAAGGUGUUAAAUGCACAAAAAUUUUGUCUAUUUUUCAUUUUUUAAAAACAGAAAAUGAAACAAAACUGACAUUUUAAAGGCCAUAAUACAGAUUUCAGAAACAAAUUUUAAGUGAAAACACAAGUGAAUAUUUUACUGAAUAAAAGUCUUAACGUGAAAUGAAGCUUUGUGAUAACCAAGGAUGAUAGCAUAGGAAACUCUGGUGUUCAUUUGUUGGGAUUAUGAAUGGAAAGGAAGAGAAAGGGACUUACUAGGUAGGCAUAUGAAGAGUUACCCUCAGAAAGAUAAAAGAGACCUAUUCAGUGUCUCCUAAUUUCUUCCUUUAUUUAUCUGUUCAGAAUCCAGUCUGCUUCGAGAUUCAAAGUCUUGCUGUUGAUGAUUAAUUUUCCUCCUCCAUGAAUUCUGUGUCUAUCCUUGCUAAUCAAAAUCUAGUUCAAGUUAGUAGAG
rnacentral:lncRNA from 1 species